UAGCUUGCUAAGAGGUGGACAGCGGCGGAAGGGAGAGUAACGCGUGGUUACGUGCCCUCGAGACCGGGAUAGUGUUGGGAAACUGGCAGUAAUACCGGAUAACAUCUUUGGAUCAAAUGGUGUGAUUCCGCUCGAGGAUCGGACCGCGUACUAUUAGCUUGUUGGCGGGGUAACGGCCCACCAAGGCUGCGAUGGUUACCGGGUGUGAGAGCAUGGCCCGGCUCACUGGGACUGAGACACUGCCCAGACAUCUACGGAUGGCUGCAGUCGAGAAUCUUCGGCAAUGGACGAAAGUCUGACCGAGCGACGCCGCGUGCGGGAUGAAGGCCCUCGGGUUGUAAACCGCUGUCAGUUAGGAGGAAAUGCAUGAGGGUUCUCUCUCAUGCUUGACCGAUUUUCAGAGGAAGGACGGGCUAAGUUCGUGCCAGCAGCCGCGGUAAGACGAACCGUCCAAACGUUAUUCGGUAUCACUGGGCUUAAAGCGUGC
rnacentral:rRNA from 1 species